rnacentral:rRNA from 1 species
UACGAAGGGGGCUAGCGUUGCUCGGAAUCACUGGGCGUAAAGGGUGCGUAGGCGGCUUUCUAAGUCGGGGGUGAAAUCCUGGAGCUCAACUCCAGAACUGCCUUCGAUACUGGAAAGCUCGAGUCCGGGAGAGGUGAGUGGAACUGCGAGUGUAGAGGUGAAAUUCGUAGAUAUUCGCAAGAACACCAGUGGCGAAGGCGGCUCACUGGCCCGGUACUGACGCUGAGGUGCGAAAGCGUGGGAGCAAACAGG